CCAGACUCCUACGGGAGGCAGCAGUGAGGAAUAUUGGUCAAUGGCCGGAAGGCUGAACCAGCCAAGCCGCGUGAAGGACGAAGGUGCCAAGCAUUGUAAACUUCUUUUGUCAAGGGACAAAAUCAGGCUCGAGAGCCUGACCGAGGGUACUUGAAGAAAAAGCAUCGGCUAACUCCGUGCCAGCAGCCGCGGUAAUACGGAGGAUGCGAGCGUUAUCCGGAUUUAUUGGGUUUAAAGGGUGCGCAGGCGGAGGUGCAAGUCAGCGGUCAAAUGUCGGUGCUCAACACCGGCCUGCCGUUGAAACUGGUCUUCUUGAGUGAGCGAGAAGUAUGCGGAAUGCGUGGUGUAGCGGUGAAAUGCAUAGAUAUUGCGCAGAACUCCGAUUGCGAAGGCAGCCUACCGGCUCCUGUCUGACGCUGAGGCACGAAAGCGUGGGUAUCGAACAGGAUUAGAUACCCGAGUAU
rnacentral:rRNA from 1 species